AGUGAACGCUGGCGGUAGGCCUAACACAUGCAAGUCGAACGGCAGCACAGUAAGAGCUUGCUCUUACGGGUGGCGAGUGGCGGACGGGUGAGGAAUACAUCGGAAUCUACUUUUUCGUGGGGGAUAACGUAGGGAAACUUACGCUAAUACCGCAUACGACCUACAGGUGAAAGCAGGGGAUCUUCGGACCUUGCGCGAUUGAAUGAGCCGAUGUCGGAUUAGCUAGUUGGCGGGGUAAAGGCCCACCAAGGCGACGAUCCGUAGCUGGUCUGAGAGGAUGAUCAGCCACACUGGAACUGAGACACGGUCCAGACUCCUACGGGAGGCAGCAGUGGGGAAUAUUGGACAAUGGGCGCAAGCCUGAUCCAGCCAUACCGCGUGGGUGAAGAAGGCCUUCGGGUUGUAAAGCCCUUUUGUUGGGAAAGAAAAGCAGCAGGUUAACACCCCGCUGUUCUGACGGUACCCAAAGAAUAAGCACCGGCUAACUUCGUG
rnacentral:rRNA from 1 species